ACAGCAUGGUGUGGACAUUUCCUAAUUAGUUCUUUCAACCUCUCCUAAGUCUCAUGAAAUAUUUCUCCAUCCAACUGGAAAAAAUUAGUUAUGGCCUUACGGAUUU